rnacentral:piRNA from 1 species
UACGACUUAGAAAUCGUAGGCCACCGU